AGUGAACGCUGGCGGUAGGCCUAACACAUGCAAGUCGAACGGCAGCACAGUAAGAGCUUGCUCUUACGGGUGGCGAGUGGCGGACGGGUGAGGAAUACAUCGGAAUCUACUUUUUCGUGGGGGAUAACGUAGGGAAACUUACGCUAAUACCGCAUACGACCUACGGGUGAAAGCAGGGGAUCUUCGGACCUUGCGCGAUUGAAUGAGCCGAUGUCGGAUUAGCUAGUUGGCGGGGUAAAGGCCCACCAAGGCGACGAUCCGUAGCUGGUCUGAGAGGAUGAUCAGCCACACUGGAACUGAGACACGGUCCAGACUCCUACGGGAGGCAGCAGUGGGGAAUAUUGGACAAUGGGCGCAAGCCUGAUCCAGCCAUACCGCGUGAGUGAAGAAGGCCUUCGGGUUGUAAAGCCCUUUUGUUGGGAAAGAAAAGCAGCAGGUGAAUACCCCGCUGUUCUGACGGUACCCAAAGAAUAAGCACCGGCUAACUUCGUG
rnacentral:rRNA from 1 species